rnacentral:lncRNA from 1 species
CUCAGGGAAGGGAGGCAGGAAUAAGUGUUUCUCCAGGAGGAGAAUUAGGAAUACGGGCAACCGGGCCCUGUGUUCUGGUAGCUCCGGGUCUGGGGGAGACCCCUCUUUCUUGUCUGGACCAGGGCCGAUGGAGGGAGCACCCAAGCACAACCAAGACAUUUCAGAACCACACUGCGGGAGUACGAAGAGUCAGCAAUUGAAAGCAUAACCAUUGCAUAGUAUUAAAUGAACAGAGACGGUGAGUUCUUUAUUUACAGUUAUUGUCUAGAUAAAAAAAUUCAUAAAAACAGAUGAAUGGUCAUAAAUUAUUUACCCCCUAAUGGGGUGAACUGCCAAACGUACCCCAUGCUGCUAGAUAUAGGACGCAGAGUGCAAGCUUUAUGUACUACAGUGAGUUUUGACAAACCAAUCAUUUCCUGUGUGUGGAUGUGUGUGCAAGUGUGAGAGUGAGGGUGCGUGUGUGAGCAUCCAUCAUUCCUGACAAGAGAAGACCGACACAAAUGUCAGGCAUUCUUGGUAGCUUCCAUCGCUCCCUGCUCUGCAAGCUUGGCUCCACUCAGAGAAACCCCUCCUGCCUUCCUUGCAUCCUGGCUCCAGAUGAACAGGGAGGACGGUGCGCAAGCACAACUUCCCUGGUGUCAUGGAAUGAGGUCAUGGACACAAAAUUGGAACAAAGAAGGGGGUGAUGGAAAACCCUGACAAAGGAAACUACAAAAAACUCCACAUUCCAAGGCUGCCCCGAGUUUGACGGGCACAGGUCUCUCCUUUCUCGGCAGGAGAGCUGUGGGCUGGCUUUUGGUGGUGUUCCUAUCGGAAUCCAGUAAGCGUCUCUGAGGGCUGGCCACCCCUUUCGGGAUGCAGUUUCCUCUGCUGGGUACAUUCAGAGCUAUUUCUCCGUGACAUUCAGGCGAUGCUCGCUCACAGAGAAGGUCCUCCUUCCAGGAAGGGUUUGCCAAGUGGGUGGGCUGACUUGGGAUUCCAAACCCUCAGGUUUCUCCACAGCCGUCCAGACACAGGCCCUCCUGGCUGACUAUGGCUCUUUUCCCAAGUGGCUCUCAUC